AGCCCGGACCGGCCCGCCGGGAGCCAGGCCCGCUUCGUCUGCCGCCAUGGGGUCCGAAAAUCUCACUAGGCAAGUGCCCGGUGAGGAGGGCUCGCUCCCUGAGGAAGGAGCCUCCUGCUGCUCUGGUGAGCCCGGGGCCGCUCCUGAGCCCCGAGGCGGCCCCUGGCCAGGUGUGGGAGCUGAGGGGAGCUGGAGGCCGGGCUGGCUCCCCAAACCUGCCCUGGUCCCGGGUCCCCUCGGGGAAAUGUGGGCCUCCCUCACGACAGCGGCCCCCAGGUUCCUGCUGACAUGAGGGUACACAAACCACCAAGGAAAACACUGUCGUGUGUACACAGACGCCUGAAAUCGUCUGUCAGAAGUUACAGUUUGAAGACAUAAAGUCGUGUUCUCAAAGGAGAAAAAGCAACCGGAGCAAAUACGAAGAAAUGCGAGGAGAAUUUCUCUUUCCGCAACGCCAGGUAUGAGGAAGAAUAGUUAGUUCCCAGUCUGUAUGGAGGUGUGCCAUUCAAAGGGGAGUACCAUGAGGGCAUCAUUCCCGACAGAAAAGAUCCUUGUGAGUGGGCACAAGUGCAAUAGACAAUGAGCCGAAGAGCAAAUUUCAUUUAGCGUAUGAGCCUUGAAUGAACCAUGCAGAACCCGCACCCCGUAAGAGAAGGGACGAGACCCCCGCGGCCACCUGGCCAGCAGCCCAGCGCUGUGCGGCCCCGGUCUCGGGGCUCGGUGGCCGCUGUCCAGCUGCGAUCCGGCAGGGAGGAGCCGCCAGCCCAGCGCCACCUUCCCUCCCCGGGAGUGCCCGCAGCGACAGCAGCGCUGGCAACAGCGCUGGCCAUCGGCCUCAGCUCGCCCCCAAGCUGGAACGAAGUUCUGACAAGAUGUGCAGUGCAAAAAGUAAAUCAUUAGCGUUCGCUGGACUGCUUCUCAGCUGCCUAGAAAUGAUAUUUUCAGCAAACACAGCUCCAGAUAUGCCUGUUAUUGACCAAGCUUAUUCAAAACUUAGCAACAGCAUCACAGUGGAAUGGAGAGCAGUACCUGGGGCUACUAAUUACAUGCUGACUGCAGAAGAUGGAGAUUCCUUUAUCGAAACGAUAGUAAAAAAUUCUCCAGGCACAGUGACGGGACUGAAGCCUGCCACCUUGUACCGAAUCACUGUCAGAUCUAUAAAUUCAGGAGGAAAAAGCCAGCCUUCACCUUCUAGAAAAGUAAAAACAGUCCUGGCUGCUCCGAUUCUGUCUGUCCGUUCUCUGACUUGUGACUCCAUUGCAGUGAGCUGGAAAGCUGUGCCUAUGGCAGCUGGCUUCUCUGUGUCACUCAUGAGAUCAGAUGGUUUGGGCAGAAUGCUGAAGCAGAACACCACUAAUACCUCCUUGAUAUUUACAAACCUAGAUCCAGGAACUCUUUAUACUAUCAAGGCUUAUGCCUGGAAUGCCAAUGGGAUGCCUGGAGAUGAUUUCACAUAUAACCAAAGAACAAGUCCUAAUGCACCAGUGGAUGUUAAAGUAGCUUUCAAUAGUGGUGCUUUAAGAGCUGUUGUCUCUUGGAUGCCAACAGAAGGAGCUCUAACUUACAGUGUCACAGUCUUCAGUGGACUCCUGAAACUGAGGUGUAACACAUCUUCUGCCUCCUGCGUGGUGCCAUCCCUCCAGUGCAGCUCUCAAUAUUAUGUGUCCGUCACUGCAUACAAUGAGGCUGGAUCCAGUGAACCUACUGAUGCAGUAAGCUUAAAAACUGUUCCUUGUGCACCAGUAAACAUCUCAAUUGAGGAGGAUGAACCUGCUCACUUGCUGGUGUCAUGGUCUAGCGUCAGUUUGGGUCAUUAUUAUGUGGUUUUUGUGAAGAGUGAUGAUGGCUUGGAAGUUCACUGCAACACAUCAUAUACUCAAUGCCAUUUCCAGUCCGACUGUGGUUACACUUAUUUCAUUAGCGUCUUUGCAUAUAACGAGGCAGGGCAGAGUCCUUUAGGUGAUGUAUUCAAUUACACUACUGCUCCUUGUUGCCCCAGUGAGUUCAGAGCCGUGUUCACGUCAAGCGACACGGUGCGGGUCACCUGGGCUCCCGUGCGAGGCGCUGACCUGUACGAGACCCGAGCAGCGGGCGGCAGCGGCGCGGUGCUGUGCAGGGACACGGCCACGGCCUGCACGCUGUCGGCUCUGCGGUGCAGCACCCCCUACAACAUCACCGUGUACUCCUUCAGCGAGGCCCGGGGCAGCAACACCUCCUGUGCGCCUCAGCACGUGGCCACAGCUCCCUGCAGUCCUGAAAUUAAAAAUAUCUCCAAGGAGGGUCUAUCUGUAAUCAGUGUGCAUUGGCAACCUAACAAUGAAGAAGCUAUGUAUGUUGUCACUGCCAGAGGAGAGGCUGGGCUUUGGCAUUGCACAAGCACCAGGAAUUCCUGUACCCUGAUGGAUCUUCCCUGUGGAUCUGCUUUCUCUGUAAGUGCUAUUGCAAGAUCACCAGCAGGACAGAGCUUACCAAGCUACAGUAUCCCUUUAGAGACAGCUCCUUGUUGCCCUAAUGACCUGACCCUAGCACAAGUGACACAGUCAGUAACCAAUAUCAGCUGGUCUGUUGGGAGGGGUGCACAGACAUACGUAACAGCUCUGGAGUCUCCAAAAGGACAGGCAAAGUGUCACACACUUCAGACCUACUGUCUCCUGGGAUGUAUCACAUGUGGCACCAACUAUACAGUGUCUCUGAGAGCCAUUAGUGAGACGGGUUUGACAUCCAGCUGCACCUACCAGGGAUAUUCUUCCAGUCCUUGCUGCCCUUCUGGGGUGAAGCUCUAUAGACUCAGCAAUGAUGGCAUCAGGGUGUUCUGGCGAGCUUCUGAUGAAACAAUAAACUACAAGGCUGACUUACAUGGCUCAAAGGGCAAUUUCAGCUGUACCCCCAGCUUGGGUCUGAGUCUCUGUGAUAUCACCAAGAUACCUUGUGGGGAUGUCUACACUGUGGUGGUAGCUCCAGUGACUGACAAGGAGCCAAAGCUCACAUUUUGUCCUAAGAAAAUAUAUUCAGUCACCUGUUCUGGAAGCUCUGUUGGAAUGGGUAAGAGCAGUACAUUCAUUAAAAAUUCAAUGAAGUUUAUAGAAUAUUUUUGCAUCAUCUUCAGAUAAGAUGCAUGUAGCAUAUAGAUUGGAUAAUCAAGGCUUCUGGUAGUGUUAAGCAGGUUUGUCUCAUCCCCUCCCCCAUCUUAUAAUGUAUAAAUUUAAAAAACCCCCCAAACCUUACCUAUAUUAUAGCCUGCAUACUAUCACGCAUGGUCACAACACUUGCUACUCAUUUGAUAGCACAUAAUAAAAGGCAGGUUUAUCUUUUAUAGCUUUCCCACAUCCCAUUACAAAUGAAGAUAAGUGACACUUCUUCUUUCUAUUUCCAAAAAGGUAAAAAAAAAGUGUGAUUUAUCUCAAUCUAUUCUACCUUAUUUAUUUGAGAUUUCAGCAAGAUAGUGCUUUAUUUUCUUAUGUAAACUGCUGGAAACAACUUCAAAAGCAGCCACUGAAACAAAAAUUUCUUAAGACAGUUGCUUUUCCGUAACUGAAAUUGUCCUAAUUUCCAAAUUCUUUUAUAGUUAUCUCUAGAGGAAAGAGCAAUGUAAAACACAUCUAGAUGGAAUUCUGGUUCAGCUAAGGAGUUUUUUCUCCUGAAACUGGAAAGACACAUCUGUGCCUAACUGCAACAUUCACAGCUGCUUGAGGACUGGGAGCAGGAAAGCCGAACACCUAGCCAUACCUGAGACCUAAUCCAGGCAGGACCUUCACUCAUACUCCAUAGUGGUUACUUUUUCAGCCGACUUGGAAAGCCAAGUUUAAGGUCAAUGGUUCUACACGUGUGUGUAAUCUAACAGUCUUCAGAAGCUCAUGUGCACAAAGGUAUCCAAAAGACUGCAGGGUUUUUAGCACUAUUUUCAGUUUAUAAAAACAGACACUAUCCAUUCUGGGAACUGCCUUUCUUCAGAGAACACAUCAGGUGUUAGGUAUCUCAGUCAGUGCUUCUGAUCAUUUGUGCAAGGUCCCAUGGGAAUCUCACGCUUCAGUAAGUUGCUUGUAGAUGGCCCAAGAAUUAAAUGCUGCUUCUUAAAACACAAUCUGCAUUCAGUCAUGAUCAAACAAGUCUUUCUUAAGGGAAGAUUAUUUAAAACUGCCCUGCAUUAGUUAAUAGAAAGUUGGCAUUAUUUUUCACUUAAUAAAAAAAUAAACAGCCUUCUUCCUUGAGGGUUCUAUUUCAAUAUUUCUUCCUUGCAGAUGUCAUUGUCAAACACUGUCACCACAGUGUAAGUGUUUAACUGGGUUUUCAGAGAUCUAAAGCAAUUGGUUUCUUUUAGAACCAAAUUCAAGCCCCAAACUACUACUUUACUCCUAAGCAAUUCUGGUAAUUCUAUGCUCUAUGCCAUUCUAAACUGUUGGUUAUGUUUUCGUAAUUCUCUCUGACAUACAGACCUUAACACCUCAAUUACACACUACAAACAACAAUGCUGUAAUACUGUUUUCAUCAACUCCUCUCCCUUUCGUCACUGAAGUGUGAUUGUAUCAGAAUGUAUUAUUUGCGCCUGUUGGGGGGAAAAAAGGCAAAAAAGCUGAAGAGGAGUCAUGAUUUCAAGGAAAAAACACAUUGAUUCAGCUCUAAAAAAGUGGGUAGCAGAUGUAUACAAUUAACAAAAGAGGGAGGAAAAGCAACACAAAGAAACUGAGCCAGAUACCCAUCUCCUACCAUGGCAGUGUGUAACCUCAAAGUGUUGUUAUUUAGGCAUUAGACACUGCCUGAUAACAAUGAUCUAACAGUUAACACUGCUGAUAAGUGAAAGGACACUGGUAUUCACUGAGCUGAUUAAAAAUUUUGGUCAGGUUUGGUUGCAGGUUCUCUCCAGACUGAGGUAAACACACAUUUAUGGGUCAUGGUGACUUCAGAUCACAGGAAAGGACAAUUAGAUGUCAUGUUUUUCUGGUCAUUGUUUCUGUACUAUUUACUUGAAUGAACCUCUGGACUUCAAGAAGCACAAAAACUCCAGGCAAUAAAAUUCUCAACCAAUCAAACAACAAAAAAAACCCACCAAAAACCCCCAAAUAACCCAACCCCACAGCCUCUUGAAAGAAACUUGAGAAUCAAGAAAACUGUUGAAGGCUUGGAGGUAGGCAGCAUAUGGAUAUGCUAAAAUGGACACUUUGAGAGCAGUAUCUGUGAAAUCACAUGGACUAACAAAUUAGGUGAUUAAAACCACCUAGGUUAUUUCAUAGCAUUAUUUAAUGCUUAAUAAAAAAUCUAAAUGCAAUGCAUAAAUAUGUAUUAGCUGGAAUCACACAAAUAUGAAUAUUAGCAAAAAAUUGUAUAUAUUAUUUAAAAUACACAUUGCUUUUAAUUGCAUCUGACACAGAAGUAAUACCUCAAAACUUAGGUUUUCAAUCCACUGAAAAAACUGGCAAAAAUCUACCUUUCAGCUGAUUGCAGACUUGACCCAAUUUUAGAGAUUUAGUAUUCUACCACAUCUAACUAUUGCUGGUGAAAAGAUACAAUGACAACUUCAUUGCAAAACCUCAAGAGUGACACUUAAAGGCUGUUUUACGCUGUUUAAUAAUUGGUGAUCAUCCAUACCUAAAGCUACAUGCACUUCACACAGUGGGGCAAAGGGCUCAAACAUCUAAAGCCAGCAGAAUUCAUAAAAUUCCUUCAGGUUCCCCUAAAGAGGGGAACUUGCACACUGUAGGAAGCUAUUAAUAUUACUAAUAAUAUUAAUAUUACUAUUACUAUUCCAGUACUUAGCAUUGGAGCCACAGGAAAUUUCCAAGCCAGAUGAAGCUUCACAAGGAUAACUAUCCCAGCUAGGCUAUUAUGGACACGUGGCAUACUAUGGAAACGUCGGGUUCAUAGUGCUUCGGUCAUAGUCAUUUAUCCUGAGAACUGAAGAGUGAGUGCACAGACUGUGAUACAACAGCUCUGCAACCACAGCUCCUCUAGCUACAAUUGGCAGAAAUUUUAUGUCCCCGAGAUUAAUGUCCAGUGCAGCUCUACUGCACUGCAACAAUCGCACCAGAGUGGGCAGCACCAGCACCUCCACUAGCUCAUCGGAGCUGCUUUCACAGCCCUGCAGUUCCUUCUGCUUUUUAAGGAAGGGCACGUGAAAUAAAAUAGCAUCAGAAAGACAAAAAGGAAUUAAGAGACCCUGAUUACAAACUAAACAGCUGUAUGACAAUAAAUCCAAGGAUAAUUUUAGACAAGUAUCUUGGGUUCAAGGGAUUUUCAUAGGGCUUGGUUGGCAGUGAAUAUUGUGCUGUCAAUUACACUGCUAACUCAACUACAUAAUAUCAAUCGUAAUUAAUUCAGAGGUCAAAAAGGACUAUUUAUAAAACAGGAAAAUAAAAGCACAGUCCUGAAAUUACCACACUUGUAAAGAGAUACUGGGAUGGGCCAGCCUUUGCACAAGCUGUAUCAAAAUGCCCACCAUCUCUGUUGCAGUGAGGCAGUGCUUGUCCAUGCUCAGGUCAAAGAUUGUCUCUUAAAUACCUGUAUUUUUUCCUGCAAAUAAACCACUCUUUCACUGUAUUCCCAACAGUCUCAGAAGAGGACGAAAUGCCCUGAAGGAACAACUGGAAAUCAGUAAUCCAUUUUCCCUGACAGAACACUGGUUCCACAGCCUCUCUGCCCAAGAACAUAUUUGUUUCAGAAACUGAAGGUCAAAAACAAGGCCAAAAGAAGCCCUCUAGACACAAACAAGAUAAAUUAAAGUUGUCCUCACUGUCUGGACAGAAUCCAUGCAAUCCACCGGCAGACUGCAGAGACAGUUCUAGUAAUCUACUAGACAGGAUAUUUCUUUGUUUCGCCAAUCUUAAAUGAAAGCUCAGUAUUUUAGUUUUACACUGCAAGGGAAUGAAUUUGUUGAAGCUUAAGUUUUGUUGCAAGCUCAGAUUUAAAAUCAGGUAACACAAAUAUAAGCAGACAGCUGUAACAACCUCACUACUAAAAAAUGCUGAUUAUUAAGGAUCAUGGAGAUAAAGAAUAUUACAGUUCAGAAAACAGGAAGAGCUGGGAGGAAGAAAAAAAGUUUGCUUCUUGGAAUACUAUGGAAUGAAGUACAUACUGCUGGAAGUCAAAACCUGUUUUCCCUGGAUGUUUAAAAUUAAAUACACCUAGAUGACCUACAUCACACAGAAGCACAAAAAGGCACAAAUAUUUUAUUUCUACCCUCAGGUUACUUCAUGAUUGAUUCCCAAUUCAUAUUCUUUCCAUCUUGGGGCUGCAGCAUUUCUGUUGUUUGCUACAUCUUUGUUGUUAAUUACUUAUUACAUAAAAUCCCUUAUUCAUACAAAGUGUCACUUGAUGAAAAUAAAAUGCGGAGGAACUGAAGCACUUUUUAACUGGCAAUGAAUGUGCAGGGAAAAGCUGACACUCAAUACAAAGGAAUUAAUUGAGAGUUUAUUCCAGAUGGUUCUCCUCACUUAAUAUACAAGUCAUCAGAAUAAUCUAUGAAAUAGACUUGGACUUUAAUGAUAUGGUCUUUUUCUAUAAUGCAUUUUGGUUUUGGCUUCUAACAACCUGUUUAAAAAAAAAAUCUGCCAGAUGAAAUGUUCAGCACAAACUGUGAUCUUUACUAUUUGUAGAAAAUAUGAAUUAAAAAAGGACACUAUCAGUUAAUUCUUAUUUUAAAUGUUUACACUUAUAAAAAUGCUUUGGAAGCUUGAAACUGAAA